rnacentral:misc_RNA from 1 species
GAACGCACCUUGCACCCUUUGGCAUUCUGAAGGGUAUGCUCGUUUGAGUGUCAUUGUACUCUCACACUUCCGAUCUUUGUAUUGGGAGUGGUGGACUUGGGUGUUUGCUGCUUUACUGCGGCUCACCUCAAAUGCAUUAGUGCAACUCUUGGUUGGACAUAGUACGGCGUGAUAAGUAUCUUCGCCGGCACCUCGCAAGAGGGUGGCUGAUCAGGAGCUCUGUGCUCUCCAACUGUCUUCAGACAACAACUGACAACUUGACCUCAAAUCGAGUAGGACCACCCGCUGAACUUAAG